CCUCUCUCAUCUACCUCUCUCACCCUCAGCCUUAGACCGCCGCCGGAAAUCGCCUUACGGUGGCGGCACCACUCCAAAUAACUCCAAAAUUUUACCCUACAAUCCCUAUAUUCUCCUCUUUCCAAACAUCUUAGCCUCAUCCCUCAAUCCCCACUAGAACUCUUUGGAUUUCAAAUCUCAGAAACCCUAGAAACCUAACUUUUUCCUUUUCUAAUUCUUUAACAAAUUCACUCGUUUUGACCUAAAACUUACCUUGGUCAAUUGUUCUUAACAAGAACAAUUGAUUAGUGUUAGUUUUGGCUCAUUUCAAAGCCAUCAGAGUUCAGCCAAUUUGCUUUUGAUCGGCCAGAAGUCCAAAUUGUUACAAUCUUGGCCGGCUCUCAUACUGCAUUUAGUAGUUUGCAGAUCUGACCAUUAGUUGGUUAGAUUGGUAAGCUCUAAAGCUAAGGAAGAGAUUUAACGUCUCUGGGAAAGGAGUUUUGAGCUGAAGAUUUAAUCAAAUCAUGCAUUAGUUUAGUUGUUAUUGUAAAUGACUUUUGUAUACAUUAGAAAGCAGUAAUUAUUAAGAAUUGUGAUUGAAGUGGCCAGAACUGUAAAUGUCAGAGUUUAGGUAGUCUUCUUUUGAAGUUUUGAAUGUCAACGAUUUUCUUUUCUGUAUAUUUGUUGUGUUAGAUUUUUGUUUCGUAUGGAAAACUCUGUAUCUAAGCAGGUGUAUUAGUUGAUUUUCAAAGGGACUGUUUAUGUAAUUGUCUGCAAUGGAGGCCAUAAUCUUUUAUUGAGUUAUAUAAAAUUGGAAUUCCAGUCCA